GCGGCCGCUCUGUUUGWUCCUGGCGGAGGUCACUGCUAUCGGUGUUCGAUUAAGCCAUGCGAGUCGUGAGACGAAAGGUCUCGGCGGACUGCUCAGCAACACGUGGAUAACCUACCCAAUUGUCCGGGAUAACCCCUGGGAAACUGGGGAUAAUACCGGGUAGAUCAAACCUACUGGAAUGUGGUUUGGUUGAAACGUAAGGCUUUUGGAUGGGUCUGCGGCUGAUUAGGUUGUUGCCGGUGUAACGUACCGUCAAGCCUGUAAUCAGUACGGGUUGUGGGAGCAAGAGCCCGGAGAUGGAUUCUGAGACACGAAUCCAGGCCCUACGGGGCGCAGCAGGCGCGAAAACUCUACAAUGCAGGCAACUGCGAUAGGGGAACAUCGAGUGGCAUCCAUAUUGGGCGUCUGUCCACCCGCCUAAAAAGCGGGUGUCAGCAAGGGCCGGGCAAGACCGGUGCCAGCCGCCGCGGUAAUGCCGGCGGCUCGAGUGGUGGCCGAUAUUAUUGAGUCUAAAGGGUCCGUAGCCGGCUUUGCAAGUCUCUCGGGAAAUCCAGCGGCUUAACCGUUGGUCGUCCGGGGGGUACUACAUUGCUUGGGACUGGGAGAGGUAGGAGGUACUCAGGGGGUAGGAGUGAAAUCCUGUAAUCCUUUGGGGACCACCGGUGGCGAAGGCGUCCUACCAGAACAGGUCCGACGGUGAGGGACGAAAGCUAGGGGCACGAACCGGAUUAGAUACCCGGGUAGUCCUAGCCGUAAACGAUGCUCGCUAGGUGUCACAACAGUCGUGAACUGUUGUGGUGCCGUAGGGAAGCCGUGAAGCGAGCCACUUGGGAAGUACGACCGCAAGGUUGAAACUUAAAGGAAUUGGCGGGGGAGCUCCACAACGGGUGGAGCUGCGGUUUAAUUGGACUCAACGCCGGGAAGCUUACCGGGAUCGACAGUUGUAUGAAGGCCAGGCUGAAAACCUUGCCGGACUAUCUGAGAGGAGGUGCAUGGCCGCCGUCAGUUCGUACCGUGAGGCGCCCUGUUAAGUCAGGCAACGAGCGAGACCC
rnacentral:rRNA from 1 species